CUAAAAGAAAAGAAGAAGGAAACGAAAUGAAAGGAAAGGAAGGGCCAAGUGGCCCUUCAUUAAAAACAAGGCGCGGCCCUUCAAUAAAACGAGACGCACUGCGUCUUGUUGAGGUAUUCAGCCUUUUCUGUUCUUCUUCCUAUGGAGGCAGAGCUUGUCCUUCUCAGUUUUUCCUCUUUUGAUUUUUCGUACAAAAAUCAUGAUCUAUGAAGAUCUAGCCGUUCAAUUUCAAAUCCGACUUCGGUAACGUGAUCUACGAAACCCGAUCUACAUUUCUACCGAUCGGUUUGAGAAAAAGGAGCUAAGAAACUAUACAAGGAGUUUGCUGAUGCAGAUCUGGAGAACGAAGGCAUGGACUCAUAUGCCAGUUUUAAUGAUUUUUGAAACCAUUGCUGUAGCAAUAUGUGCUAGCUUAGAAAUUGCUAGGCAUAUUUAUGUGUGUUUUAUUUCAAGGCUUGUAAUAAUUAUGUUUUGUUUGGUGUAUUUUUAUGUUGUAUGUUUAUGUGCCGUUUGUGGCACUUAUUUUUAAUGCACCUAGUGUGCAAAUGGCGUGUAAAGAUAAACCUAAGUAACUUUUUAUAAACGUAUCGAGGUAUUUCAGUCA